rnacentral:rRNA from 1 species
UACGAAGGGGGCAAGCGUUGUCCGGAAUCAUUGGGCGUAAAGAGCGUGUAGGCGGCUCGGUAAGUCCGCUGUGAAAGCCCAGGGCUCAACCCUGGAAUGCCGGUGGAAACUGUCGAGCUAGAGUCCGGAAGAGGCGAGUGGAAUUCCUGGUGUAGCGGUGAAAUGCGCAGAUAUCAGGAGGAACACCAAUGGCGAAGGCAGCUCGCUGGGACGGUACUGACGCUGAGACGCGAAAGCGUGGGGAGCAAACAGG